UGGCUCAGUUGGUAGAGCAUGUGACUCUUGAGCUCAGGGUUGUGGGUUUGAGCCCCAC
rnacentral:tRNA from 1 species